UUUCCGUAGGUGAACCUGCGGAAGGAUCAUUAAAGUUAUAGUCCCCCGGCCCUCUGGCUGGCGUCUUCUAUACCACCCUUUGUUUCUUACACCUUUGUUGCUUUGUCAGGCCUGCCCUCGGGCUGCUGGCUCCGGCCGGCUCGCGUCUGCCAAAGGACCUAAACUCUGUUUGUAUAUGUAGUCUGAGUACUGUAUAAUAGUUAAAACUUUCAACAACGGAUCUCUUGGUUCUG
rnacentral:misc_RNA from 1 species